rnacentral:rRNA from 1 species
GACUGGGAUAACACCUGGAAACAGAUGCUAAUACCGGAUAACAACACUAGACGCAUGUCUAGAGUUUGAAAGAUGGUUCUGCUAUCACUCUUGGAUGGACCUGCGGUGCAUUAGCUAGUUGGUAAGGUAACGGCUUACCAAGGCAAUGAUGCGUAGCCGAGUUGAGAGACUGAUCGGCCACAUUGGGACUGAGACACGGCCCAAACUCCUACGGGAGGCAGCAGUAGGGAAUCUUCCACAAUGGACGAAAGUCUGAUGGAGCAACGCCGCGUGAGUGAAGAAGGGUUUCGGCUCGUAAAGCUCUGUUGGUAGUGAAGAAAGAUAGAGGUAGUAACUGGCCUUUAUUUGACGGUAAUUACUUAGAAAGUCACGGCUAACUACGUGCCAGCAGCCGCGGUAAUACGUAGGUGGCAAGCGUUGUCCGGAUUUAUUGGGCGUAAAGCGAGUGCAGGCGGUUCAAUAAGUCUGAUGUGAAAGCCUUCGGCUCAACCGGAGAAUUGCAUCAGAAACUGUUGAACUUGAGUGCAGAAGAGGAGAGUGGAACUCCAUGUGUAGCGGUGGAAUGCGUAGAUAUAUGGAAGAACACCAGUGGCGAAGGCGGCUCUCUGGUCUGCAACUGACGCUGAGGCUCGAAAGCAUGGGUAGCGAACAGGAUUAGAUACCCUGGUAGUCCAUGCCGUAAACGAUGAGUGCUAAGUGUUGGGAGGUUUCCGCCUCUCAGUGCUGCAG